CCCGCACUUGCCACAUCCAGCCCGGAGCAGACCCGCCUCAGCUCGCCUCACCUCACCAUUCACCGCAGCAGCAAUGCCUCCGGACGGCGACGCGGAGCUGGCGGCGGACGAGCUGCAGAGCCUCAGCUUCGGCUCCUCCGAGCGCUCCCGCUCCGCCUCCACCGUCUCCACCGCCACGGCCUCCUGCUCCACCUCCUCCUCCUCGGGGCUAAUCGGCGUCCCCGCGCCGCGCUCCUCCGCCCUUGCCCCGCGCCUCGGCACGGUGCAGCUCUCCGACAUCCGCUUCGUGCGGAGGCUCGGGGCGGGGGACAUCGGCAGCGUCUACCUGGCCGAGGUGAAGGGCAAGGGCGGGGCGCUGGUGGCGGCCAAGGUGAUGGACCGGAAGGAGCUCCAUGGCCGGAACAAGGAGGGCCGUGCGCGCACGGAGCGCGAGAUCCUCGAGGCCGUCGACCACCCGUUCCUCCCGCGCCUCUACGGGGUCGCCGAGGGCGAGCGCUGGUCCUGCCUCCUCACCGAGUUCUGCCCCGGCGGCGAUCUCCACGUGCUCCGCCAGAGACAGCCGCACCGCCGAUUCUCCGAGGCCGCCGUCAGGUUCUACGUGGCGGAGGUGGUGGCCGCGCUGGAGUACAUCCACAUGCUGGACAUCGUGUACCGGGACCUCAAGCCGGAGAACGUGCUGGUCCGCGCCGACGGCCACAUCAUGCUCACCGACUUUGACCUCUCCCUCAAGUGCGACCCGACGGCCCCGACUCCGGCGCACGUUAUCUCCGACCCCAUCGGCCUCACCGGCCGCUCCUCCGCGUCAUCCACCUUCAUCAUACCUUCCUGCAUCGUACCGUCGGUCUCGUGCUUCAGCCUCUUCCCCGGCCGCGGCCGCCGGCGCCGGCGCCGCAAGAAGGCCUCGAGUGGCAGUGGCGGCGGAGGCGUGAACAGCAGCAGCCUCCCCACCGGCGUGCUCGACCUGGAGUUCGUUGCGGAGCCGGUGGAGCUCCGGUCCAUGUCGUUCGUGGGCACGCACGAGUACCUGGCCCCGGAGAUCGUGUCCGGCGAGGGCCACGGCAGCUCAGUGGACUGGUGGACGCUGGGCAUCUUCAUCUUCGAGCUCCUCUACGGGGUGACGCCCUUCAAGGGGUACGACAACGAGAUGACCCUGGCCAACAUCGUGGCCCGCGCGCUCGAGUUCCCCAAGGACCCCUCCGUGUCGUCUGCCGCCAGGGACCUGGUCACCGCGCUGCUCGCCAAGGACCCGGCGCGCAGGCUUGGCGCCACGGUCGGCGCGGCGGCCAUCAAGCGGCACCCCUUCUUCAACGGCGUGAACUGGGCGCUGCUCCGGUGCGCCAUGCCGCCGUACGUGCCCCAGCCUUUCAGCGCCGCGGUCGUGACGGCCGCUGGCUCCGGCCCGGGGAAGAAGAACAACCCCGACGACGACGACAUGUCGGACGACAGCUGCCCCGGCACGCCCGUGGAGUACUACUAGAUCGGAUCAGACACAAGGAAGCUCCCACGCACGCACGUACGUGCAACCAACAAGAUGCUGCCACUGGCGGGGCCCAAGCUGGAAGCUCGUACCACCCUUGCCCGACCCUGGCGCACGUGGUCGGGAGCGGUGGACCGCCCUGGAUGGCGCGCACGAGGCGACCUUUGGUUGGAAGCUGGGCGCGCGCGCGGCCAGGCGCGGCGCUGUCGCGUCAAAUAGUUGCCGGCUGCGGCUUCGUGCGUGCAUAGGCCAAAUUUCGUGUUUUGACCCUUUUUGAAAAGAAAAUCGGGAUAUGACCCCAGUUCAGAAAAAAUUCGGGAUCUGACCCUUUUGCCUACCGCCAGCAGGCCAGGCCUGGCGGUAGGAUUGCAUGCCCUACCGCCAUAGCCUACGGCGGUAGGCCAUUCGACGGCGACUGACGGCCGUUGGCAGCCGCUGACGUGGAAAAGGGCCUACCGCCAUCCCCUACGGCAGUAGGUUACUGGAGCCUACCGCCAUAACCUCUGGCGGUAGGGUCCUGUGUUCUGGAUAAGGUGGGGAGGGGCUGGAUAUCCCCCCCCCCCUCAACCACUCAUUCAGCCCACAUCACCUCUCCACCGAGCUCAACACUCCCCCUUCUUUUUUUGAAGCACAAGAGCCUCCCAAAUCUCUCUCAUUUGUUUGAGAUUUCUCCGGUGGAUUCUUACCAUUUUCAUCACUGAAGGAUGGCACCGUUCGUUUUCUUUGAAACUUCUGCUGAGGCGGCGGCGAACCGUGAACGCGAAUUGAUUGAGGAAAAGAUGAACUUGUGGAUCGAAGCCAUUGAUGCGUUGAAUGCGGAGUGUAGGGCAUUUUCAUAUAAUUAUUUCAAUAAAGACCGUUCCGAAAAUUUUAUAACAAAAAAGGAGAGGCUGAUGAAGAAGCUCAAGACGGCGGAAGAAAAUUGUAGGCGUGAUCUUGCAAUGCAAAUUACAUUGUGUGUGACAACGGCAGAAUAUGCUGAGAUAGACAUGGGCAAUCAUGGUCAGGUCAUUGAUUGGUUAGUUCGCCAACCAUUCUCGUCGGAUGAGAACCGUGCAUCUCGUUGGGCAUGGGUCAAAGAAAGAAAUGAUGUUAUUUGUUGCAACCCGGGACCGUACGCCGCAUAGUAUUGCAUGAGGCUAUGUAAUCUUUGUCAUUUGAACUAUAAUGACAUGUACCCUAUGCUUGGUCGUCGUUUGAACUACUAUGACUUGUACCCUUAACAUUUGAACUCAUUAAGA